GGACUGUACUGGAAAAGAGAAUUUUUUGGGACAAUGUCCUCAUGCUGGCUGGGGCCUGCAUAACUGUGGCCCCAGAGAAGACGCCAGCAUCAUCUGUGCAGAGGCUGAGUACUUAAAGCCUGCAUCAGGUGAUGGAAAUUCAGCAAUCAUAUUAUCAGUUCUACCUGCUGCCAUCUCAACUCAGCUCUCUCCUACAACUGCUACACAUUCAGCAUCGUCAGGUGCUGGGUUAUCUGCAACCACAGCCACAGCAGAGCCUGUGGCCCUCCCAUCCACACCCGUGCCCCUGGCAGGUAAGUGCUUGGGAAAAUGGGGGAAGGAGCUCACAUUUAUGGAACAACCAUAAUGUGAUAA
rnacentral:lncRNA from 10 species